UCUUAUGGAUGAGCAAAGAAAGUGGCUUCUUUACAUAGAAACUACUCCUAGUGAAGAUGCUAUGAA
rnacentral:pre_miRNA from 1 species